CUUCACAGAGCUUAAAUGGCUGUUUACUCUAAGAAUCCAGAUUCUCUACAUUCAUUCCUGCACCUGCAUCCCUGGGCAGUUUUGCCGAGUCUGAAGUCUGCCAUUGCACCUCCUACCAAACCCGAAGGAAGGAGAGUGAUACAAUCUCAGGAGGAGUCUCCUGUGAGGUCUGUCUGCUGUAGGUGGGGUACCUGGUACAGACAAAUUACAUGGAAUUCACUAAAACAGUAAUUUAACAUUGUUGGCACAUAGCUCUUAUGGCUUUCUCAUCUUGCAAGAUGGCAGGUGAAAUUGUUAAGCAGCCAGAC
rnacentral:lncRNA from 1 species